rnacentral:rRNA from 1 species
UCUGAUCCAGCCAUGCCGCGUGCAGGAAGACGGUCCUAUGGUUUGUAAACUGCUUUUGUAUGGGAGCAAUAAGGCCUUCGUGUAGGCUGAUGAGAGUACCAUACGAAUAAGCACCGGCUAACUCCGUGCCAGCAGCCGCGGUAAUACGGAGGGUGCAAGCGUUAUCCGGAUUUAUUGGGUUUAAAGGGUGCGUAGGCGGUUAUUUAAGUCAGUGGUGAAAGUUUUCGGCUCAACCGGAAAAUUGCCAUUGAUACUGGAUAGCUAGAAUAUGGUUGCUGUGAGUAGAAUGUGUGGUGUAGCGGUGAAAUGCAUAGAUCUCACACAGAAUACCGAUCGCGAAGGCAUCUCACAAAGCCAUCAUUGACGCUGAGGCACGAAAGUGUGGGGAUCAAACAGGAUUAGAUACCCUGGUAGUCCACACUGUAAACGAUGAUAACUAGCUGUUGGCGAUACACAGUCAGUGGCCAAGCGAAAGCGAUAAGUUAUCCACCUGGGGAGUACGACCGCAAGGUUGAAACUCAAG